CUCCCAUUUAACUUUGUGUGCUGUAGAGUAGGCCAUGGCCUGGAAAAGGCAGUGAGUUGGUCAGCCAGUGUAAAUGACCAAACCAGACGUGUGCUGGUCCCAUUCAGACGCCCUGAGAACUCGGUGUACGCAGACAGUUCUGGCUGUGUCCAGAUCAUCAUAUAUAAUCUGUCUGUUUCUAACAGCAGAGAGCCAUGAGGAAAUAUUUCAUAAGGAAGAUUUUGAAAUACAUUUUUGCAAACCGUUCUCCUACACGAGAUGAAGGGACCCUCAUUUGGAGUAAGAGGCGUGCAAGAAAGAUGCUCACACUUGUUCUGCCUGGGUUUCUGUUUCUUGUCUUUCUAGUGGGCUGUUCGUUGCAAUGAUUGUGAGUCUGCUCUUCCUUGUGUUAUUGAGGUUCACAGCUGGGAUUCUCUUCUGGAUUUUCAUCUUUGGCGUGACUGGAAUUAUAGGUUAUGGCAUCUGGCAUUGUCGCUGGGAGUACGACCAUCUUAAAGGAAUACCUGGAUCUGAGCUCACUGUUUCUGGUACUGGAUUCCAGACAGACUUGAGAGUGCACCUGCAGCUGAGGCAAACAUGGUUAGCAUUUAGUAAGUGCCCUUUAAACUUGGUAUCCGUUAAGGGAUGUUCAGAAGAUUCAGUCGCUGUCUUGCUACAGUUUCUGCCUUGUUAAAUCUCCUCCUCUACAUAUGUUGCUCAUAGAAGUAAUCAGAAUUCACUUUCUUUGUAUAGUACAAAAAUCUACCUUUU